AAUGCAUAGAUAUCACGCAGAACUCCAAUUGCGAAGGCAGCUUACUAAACCAUAACUGACACUGAAGCACGAAAGCGUGGGGAUCAAACAGGAUUAGAUACCCUGGUAGUCCACGCAGUAAACGAUGAUUACUAGGAGUUUGCGAUACACAGUAAGCUCUACAGCGAAAGCGUUAAGUAAUCCACCUGGGGAGUACGCCGGCAACGGUGAAACUCAAAGGAAUUGACGGGGGCCCGCACAAGCGGAGGAACAUGUGGUUUAAUUCGAUGAUACGCGAGGAACCUUACCCGGGUUUGAACGUAAGUUGAGCGGAGUGGAAACACUCUUUCUAGCAAUAGCAAUUUACGAGGUGCUGCAUGGUUGUCGUCAGCUCGUGCCGUGAGGUGUCGGCUUAAGUGCCAUAACGAGCGCAACCCUUAUCUUUAGUUACUAACAGGUGAUGCUGAGGACUCUAAAGAGACUGCCAGCGUAAGCUGCGAGGAAGGUGGGGAUGACGUCAAAUCAGCACGGCCCUUACAUCCGGGGCGACACACGUGUUACAAUGGCAUGGACAAAGGGCAGCUACCUGGCGACAGGAUGCCAAUCUCUAAACCAUGUCUCAGUUCGGAUCGAAGCCUGCAACCCGACUUCGUGAAGCUGGAUUCGCUAGUAAUCGCGCAUCAGCCAUGGCGCGGUGAAUACGUUCCCGGGCCUUGUACACACCGCCCGUCAAGCCAUGGGAGUUGGGGGUACCUAAAGUCCGUAACCGUAAGGAUCGGCCUAGGGUAAAACCGAUG
rnacentral:rRNA from 1 species